GCCGCCUUAGCUCAGUAGGUUAGAGCGCCUGAUUGUGGAUCAGGAGGUCCCCAGUUCAAGCCUGGGAGGUGGUACCA
rnacentral:tRNA from 1 species